GUAAUUUGAAGGAUGAGGUUGUAUGUUUGUCUAUUUUAUUUAUUUAUUUUUCAGAAGAUGCUGUUCUGGAUUGAGGAGCUAUGAGACAGAGUGUGCAGGAACUUGCAUGCUAAUUAAACCUGUACUACGACAGCUGAUCUGAGCCAGAUGAAAUCAAAGCCUCGAGUCUAUACACCUUAAAGUUGAAUGGCUUCAAUUCUCAUGGACUGGAUCAAUUUGAAGGCUUCAGAAAUCAGCUGCAGCUCCUUGGAAACUAUAAAAGCCAGGUGAAAGUUGAGCCUUAUGAAGAUCAAGAAAGACAAA